AAGACUGUACUCGAACAGGAUCAUUUCUAUAGUACAUUCUUUCUCUUUAUUUAUCUAAAAAGAGACCAACUAACAACUUUGAUGAUUUGGAAUAGCUUCUGAGCCGGAAUUGGGAGGAGAGUAGCAUGAUGACUUCGGUUGUCGUUGCUACAGCGAAGAACGUCGGCUGUACUGUUCAAACAGCUUGAGGUUCAGAAGCGUUAUGAAAAGU
rfam:Blastocystis hominis, Singapore isolate B (sub-type 7) whole genome shotgun sequence assembly, scaffold_23